GAUGAACGCUGGCGGCGUGCCUAACACAUGCAAGUCGAGCGGAGUGCAGUGUCUAAGAGACUUCGGUCAAAUUAAUCUGUACUUAGCGGCGGAUGGGUGAGGAACGCGUGGAGAACCUGCCCUUCACAGGGGGAUAACAGCUGGAAACGGCUGUUAAUACCGCAUAUGCUCACAGCACCGCAUGGUGCAGGGAGGAAAGCCGAGACGGUGAAGGAUGGCUCCGCGUCGGAUUAGCCAGUUGGCGGGGUAACGGCCCACCAAAGCGAUGAUCCGUAGCCGGCCUGAGAGGGCGACCGGCCACAUUGGGACUGAGACACGGCCCAAACUCC
rnacentral:rRNA from 1 species